CGAUGCCUACGGGGGGCAGCAGUGGGGAAUAUUGCACAAUGGGGGAAACCCUGAUGCAGCGACGCCGCGUGAGCGAAGAAGUAUUUCGGUAUGUAAAGCUCUAUCAGCAGGGAAGAAAAUGACGGUACCUGACUAAGAAGCUCCGGCUAAAUACGUGCCAGCAGCCGCGGUAAUACGUAUGGGGCAAGCGUUAUCCGGAUUUACUGGGUGUAAAGGGAGUGCAGGCGGCUUGGCAAGUCUGAUGUGAAAGGCUGGGGCUCAACCCCAGGACUGCAUUGGAAACUGUUAGGCUGGAGGGUCGGAGG
rnacentral:rRNA from 1 species